AUUUCCCUCACAACUAAUACUUGGACUUCCAUUCAAAAUGUUAAUUACAUGUCUCUUACAGCACAUUUUAUUGAUUCUGAUUGGACACUUAACAAGCGUAUUUUAAAUUUUUGUGUUGUUCAAAAUCACAAAGGAGAAACGAUUGAGAAAUUGAUUGAGACUUGUUUGCAAGAUUGGGGAAUUGAGAAAGUUUUUACAAUCACUGUUGAUAAUGCAAGCUCUAAUGAUGUGGCUAUUGCUUAUCCUAGGAAGAAGUUGAUUGCUUGGGGUAGUGAUGGAUGUGUUCUAGAUGGAAGAUAUUUGCACUUGAGGUGUUGUGCACACAUUAUAAACUUGAUUGUUUGUGAGGGGUUGAGGGAAGUACAUGACUCCAUUUUGAAUAUUCGCAAUACAAUCAAAUAUGUGAAAUCUUCUCCUGCUAGGUAUGAAAAACUGAAGGAGUGUGCGAAAAAAGAGAAGAUCGAUUGCAAGUCUAUUGUAUUUUUGGAUGUUCCAAUUAGGUGGAAUUCAACCUAUUUGAUGUUGGAAACGUCAUUGAAAUUUGAGAAAGCUUUUGAUAGGUUAGAAGAAGAGGAUGCUCAAUAUUUGCAUUACUUUCGGGAAGACGAUGGUGGUAAAAAGAGAGGUGGACCUCCUUCAAAUUUAGAUUGGAAAAAUGGAUCUGUAUUUGUCAAGUUUCUUAAAAAAAAAAAAUUUGAUGUGACUUUGACUUUUAGUUCUUCAUUGCAUGUUAGUGCUUGUGCUUAUCUCCAUGAAAUUUGUAAUAUUGUAUUCGAAUUGGAUGAAUGGAGAUUGAGUGGUAAUUUUUUAUUAGGUG
rnacentral:lncRNA from 1 species